GUCUUCUAGCCAGGCUGAAGGCCAACAGGGAAUCAUUCCCAAAGCAUCGUCCACUGACGCUAAAGACCCAUCGCUGCAGGCGGCGACAGUCCACUGGGAUCCACUGAUGUCCCCUGCAAGGGAAGAACUCGGCCUCGUAUUUGAGCACCCAAGUUCAUGGUUCAAGGAUGCAGGCCAUCACAACGGCCUGUGGCGAGGGGGAGGACUGGCUCAGACUCUGCCUCAGGAUGCCGCUUAAGCCCCUCAGCC